rnacentral:tRNA from 1 species
UCACACGUAUGGUUGCAAACCAUAAGAAGCAGGGUAAAUUCUGCCGGGGUCUGUAAUUUUAG